CAGCGCCACAAGUGGCAAUCACGUUUAUUGGGCCUAAAGCGUCCGUAGCCGGUUUAGCAAAUCUUUUGUGAAAGUGUCAAGCUUAACUUGACGAGUUGCAGAAGACACUACUAAACUCGAGACUGGGAGGAGUCAGAAGUAUUCCAAGGGGAUCGGUAAAAUGAUAUAAUCCCUGGAGGACUACCGAUGGCGAAGGCAUCUGACCAGAACAGAUCUGACGGUGAGGGACGAAAGCCAGGGGAGCAAACCGGAUUAGAGACCCGAGUAGUCC
rnacentral:rRNA from 1 species